rnacentral:rRNA from 1 species
CCUACGGGUGGCAGCAGUGGGGAAUAUUGGACAAUGGGGGCAACCCUGAUCCAGCCAUGCCGCGUGUGUGAAGAAGGCCCUCGGGUUGUAAAGCACUUUCAGUGAGGAAGAACGCCUGGUGGUUAAUACCCAUCAGGAAAGACAUCACUCACAGAAGAAGCACCGGCUAACUCCGUGCCAGCAGCCGCGGUAAUACGGAGGGUGCGAGCGUUAAUCGGAAUUACUGGGCGUAAAGCGCGCGUAGGUGGCUUGAUAAGCCGGUUGUGAAAGCCCCGGGCUCAACCUGGGAACGGCAUCCGGAACUGUCAAGCUAGAGUGCAGGAGAGGAAGGUAGAAUUCCCGGUGUAGCGGUGAAAUGCGUAGAGAUCGGGAGGAAUACCAGUGGCGAAGGCGGUCUUCUGGACUGACACUGACACUGAGGUGCGAAAGCGUGGGUAGCAAACAGGAUUAGAUACCCGUGUAGUC